UGUAGUACUAGCUCGGUUAGCGGGGCGCCGUUUAUUCUGCGUUACAAGACCAGGUUCGACUCCUGGGCACCAGGA
rnacentral:tRNA from 1 species